ACCCGCAGUCACAUCCCUAAGUAAAAUAACGGUUCCCGUGAAAAAAAAGGGUCGCCCGCAUCCUCUCGCACACGCACGCCUACCUGCAUCUCCCCGACGGCUUCGCCUCACCGGCGGCAGGCCACCCCGCGCCCAACUAGCCUCGCCUCGCACCGGAGGCGUCCGGAGGCAGGCCAACCCUCCGCCCGACUCGCCUCGCCUCGCACCGGAGGCGGCCGGUGGCAGGUCGGACCCCCCUCCCCUCGCUGCUGCCGCCAUCUACCACCACCAUCCUCGCCGCUCCCUCCCUCGCCCAGCCUUAUCUAGACGCCUAACCGAGAGAGGAGGAGGGGGGUUGACAAGGAGAGAGCAGUCAGCCGCCGGCGGCGGCGCCUCCGAGUACAGCCACACCGACGGCCCGUCCAAGAAACCAGCCCUGCCGCCCUGCUGCUCCCAACCCCCCUGAGUCUCAACCUCGCCGCCUAUUCUGGUCGAUGUUGUGAUUGAUAAUAACCAGGAAGAUUUCACCGCUCAGUUCAUCCAUUUGAAUCCUUCUACUAUAAUUAUGUUCCCUACCCUUUCUUACUUAUAGGAAAUUCAAGUGGGUACACAUGUGAGUAUCUUCUCCUUCCCUCUGUUGUAUGCAUGUGGUCAUUUGUUAUCGCUGAUUAAGAAUCAAGAUCCGUUACUUUCUUGAAUAUUGAAGACUGUCUUAGUUGGUCCAGAUUAAACUUGACAAAUACAAUUUCCUUUUGGUUCCAUCUGACAAUUUAGUUGUAUUAUUGAUUUGAGCAGUUUUCAGCAAUCUUAAGCCGUCUUCAGAUUUUAGCUCACUCAAUCAUUCUGAAUUAUUUAACCUCAGUAUGAGGUACAUGUGUUCCAAAGAUUAAUCCUGAGAAAUUUGUAGUUGACCGGUUGGGUCUGUUUGAUUUCUUUAGUAGACUGCAGCGGCAGUCACCAUUGUUCAUGAUCUAUCCUAAAGCUAGAUUAUUUGCACUGCAAUUCUUUGUUACUUCAAUCAAAUAGUUCAGCCGUGUCUUAUUGAUUUGGACGGUUCUUAUUUUAGCCUGCUCGGUCUCUGGAUUAUUUACUGUCAAUUUUGAUGCAUGUCUUUAAUAAAAUAAGAAACUUAUUUUGGUAGCUAAAUUAAACACUAAACGCUACUUGCUCAUGGCGGCUAUGUGUAGAAACACGAUCACGGUGGAGGAGAUCUCGACGGUCGAUGUGAAGCUGGGGCGCAAGAAGGGCACGAAUAUCACCUUCCUAGAAGAAUCUGAUUUUUCUGUCUUAUUUACAGCGUAAACUAUGUUUACCAUUCAUUCUGACCAGGAGCAUCCAAACAGGGAGGUGCUUCACACCCUGCGUCUAGGCAUGUACUACAACCCCAACCACAUGGCAAAGAUUGCUGACAACUGUUAAGAGAAAGCAAACAACUGAGGAGGAACAAUCUUGUUUGUGCCUAAUGAUGGUUGCCUGAACCUGACACCAGAUACCAUGACAACCUUGAACCUGGACACCAGGGAUAUCUCCCACGGCGUGCCUCUUUAGACCAAAUCCAGCAAUCAACACCUCGUCAAUUUGCUCCAUGAAGUUCAGGAACCAUCAUUAAGCACAAACAAGAUUGUUCCUCCUUGGUUGCUGGCCCUUUAGUCAUAAAAAAUGAUGUGUUGUGCUGGUUAGCAAGUUUUAUCUCCCCCGUGGAUGCAGAUUUCAGAAUAUAUUCAUUUUUUCAGUACGAUAGCUUGCAAGUUGCAACGUACCACAAAGCUAGCUAUUAGCUGACCUAUCUUUUCUGGUUGGAGCGUGUUUAAUUUCCAACAAAACAAUUCAUCCAGCUAUCCUUUCUAUUGAUUUUAGUAGAAUUCUCGCCGACAGAAUUGAUCAGGGCCAGUGUGCUCGGACGGCAAGAAUGCCUCGAUGACCACCAUGCCCAAGGCGAUGUACUUCUCUGGCGAUGCAUGUGGGUGGGUGUGGACUUGCUCCAGUUCGGCUACGCCGUACUGUGUUGGAUGACGUGUGUGCGUGGUGUCGCAGUUGAAGAUGGACCAUUGUUUCGACUCUAGACGACAUGGACGGUUGAGCUUGAUCACGUUUAUUGUGAAUAGGUGGACAAAAUG